rnacentral:lncRNA from 1 species
AUGGCCAUGGGCUUAAGAACUCGAUCCUUCGAUCAUCAUAGGACUACUCUCAUUUAUCGAGGUUGAUAGAUCCCAUCUUGGUGCGAUCUGGUUCCUACAAUGAAUAUGCUACAGCCAACAUACACCUCAGGAUUUCGAAUGGCUAGGAGAUCGAGUUAUGGUGUAGUCAAACUAUAACACACUCAAGAUGAACUGUCGAUGCACCUCAUGUCAAAGAACUAGACACAC